CUUGCAUGAAAUUAAUCCACUACGGAUUAUAAAGAUGGACUCUAAUCCAUUGUCAUGCUUAGGGCCACAAACAUUAAUUAAAAAAAAGGGAAAAGUCAACACAGCUUAUAAUUAAUUAGACACCAUCCCUUACAAUUCCGUUCAAUGUGGAUUAAUAAUCGUUGAUUAAUGCACGGACGGCACAACCAUGAGAGGAACUUUCUUACGAAUGACCAGAUAGAAGACCUCGCUCAUGUCCAGGUCCUCGUGUUUUUGUCCAUCAGGCAACUUCCAAUCGAACAAGAAGAGGAGAUUAGCCAACACAUAUUCAACUUCUUUAAGCGCAUAGGAUAUUCCAGGGCAAAGCCUUCUCCCAGAACCAAACGGAAUGUACUCUUUGUGUUGUCCCUUGAAAUCUGCUGGAUUGUCAAUAAACCUCUCAGGGAUAAAAUCAUCAGGCUUUUCCCAUAAUCCUGGAUCCCUUUGAAUUCCCCAUGCGUUGAUCAACACUCUCGUAUUGGGUGGAAUAUCAUACCCUUCCAGCUUUGUGGUCGCAGUUGUUUGUCUUGGAAUCAUUCCCGAAACAUGAUGCCUCAGUGUCUCUUUCACUAUGCAUUUUAGGUAGGUCAUCUGAUCAAGAUCGGAUUCUUCUACUUUCGAUUUGUUUCCUACCACUCUUCUUACCUCUUCUUGGGCUUUCUUCAUUAUGCGUGGGUUUUUCAUCAGCUCUGCCAUCGUCCAAUCCAUGGUUGUUGCAGUAGUAUCAGUUCCCCCAAUAAACAUGUCCAUUAGGACAGCUUUCAUGCUUUCACGAGUGAAAUCAACGGUAAGCAUGCCAUUCUUUUCAAGUUGGAGAAGAAUAUCCACAAUGUCUUUCCUAUCUUCAGCCUUGUCCUGGCUUUUUGAUACUUGAUGUUCUUCAAUAACUUGAUCAAGGAAACCAUGCAAUUCUUUGGAAGCCUUUUUCACCUUCCCGGUGAAGCCUGUUAGAACAUCGAGCCAUCCCAAAUAGGGAAAAGAAUCUUUAAAGCUGAAACUUCCCACAAGGUCUAUUGCUCCCCUAACCAAAUCCCCUGAACUGCUCUGAUGACCACUUUCAUUAUCAUAUACUGUACCAAGAGCUGAUCUUGAUACGAUGUUGUUGGAGAUAGUAACAAGCAUCUCACUCAGAUCAACUGGAGAUCCUACAGCGCAUGCAUAGCGCAACUUCUCAACCAGCUUAGCAGUUUCUUCUUUUCUCACAAACUCAAAGUAUUGCACCCUUUUCUGGCUCAAGAGUUCAAGAACGCACACCUUCUUCACCUGUCUCCAAUAUUCACCAUAGGGACAAAAUGCGAGGUUUUGGCACCCAAAGAACAAAGCAUCUCCGGCGCUGGUCUUCGGUCUAUCUGCAAAAGCAACAUCAUGAUUUUUGGUGAUUUCAUGAGCCAUCUCUGCAGUUGAAACUACAAGAGUUGG
rnacentral:misc_RNA from 1 species